CCGAUUCUGACUCCGCCCUCUCUGUCCUUCGGUGGAGACUCCGGGAAAAACCUGCCUCCCAGUCUGCCCUCUCUCCGUCUGUCUGUGCUUGUUUUUCUACGUUUAUCCCUGUCGCUUUCCCCACUUAUUCUGCAGGCAUGGCGCGCCCCCAGUGCCGGCUUGGUGCCAGGGCUGGGAGAUCCGGGGGUGAAUCGUGAGCCCGGCCCACAGCGAGCUUGCAGUCUAGAGAUCAAGGCAGUCUUGUCCACAACCUGCUGUCACAUAAAGCAAAUGUAGCUGGUGUAGCACCAGGGGCUGCAAUCAAGUGCGGUGGGGCGGCAAUAGUGACCACGGAAAUAAUCAGAAUUGCUUUUAAUUCAGCUCCUACUAUAUUCCCGCAUCCCUGAGCCUCACAAUCAUCCUCCAAGAUGGCAUGAGUGAUAGCAGAG
rnacentral:lncRNA from 10 species